rnacentral:rRNA from 1 species
GAUGAACGCUAGCGGCAGGCUUAACACAUGCAAGUCGAGGGGCAGCAUGAGGGUUAGCAAUAACCCUUGAUGGCGACCGGCGCAAGGGUGCGUAACGCGUGAGAAACCUGCCUCUCAGUGGGGGACAACAGUUGGAAACGACUGCUAAUACCGCAUAAUGUAUCCGGAGGGCAUCCCCUGGAUACCAAAGCUUUAUGUGCUGAGAGAUGGUCUCGCGUCUGAUUAGCUAGUUGGCGGGGUAACGGCCCACCAAGGCGACGAUCAGUAGCCGGUCUGAGAGGAUGAACGGCCACAUUGGGACUGAGAUACGGCCCAGACUCCUACGGGAGGCAGCAGUGGGGAAUAUUGGGCAAUGGGGGCAACCCUGACCCAGCAACGCCGCGUGAAGGAAGAAGGCUUCGGGUUGUAACUUCUUUACCAGGGACGAAGAACGUGACGGUACC